GCAAGUCGAGCGAAUCGAUGGGAGCUUGCUCCCUGAGAUUAGCGGCGGACGGGUGAGUAACACGUGGGCAACCUGCCUAUAAGACUGGGAUAACUUCGGGAAACCGGAGCUAAUACCGGAUACGUUCUUUUCUCGCAUGAGAGAAGAUGGAAAGACGGUUUCGGCUGUCACUUAUAGAUGGGCCCGCGGCGCAUUAGCUAGUUGGUGAGGUAAUGGCUCACCAAGGCGACGAUGCGUAGCCGACCUGAGAGGGUGAUCGGCCACACUGGGACUGAGACACGGCCCAGACUCCUACGGGAGGCAGCAGUAGGGAAUCUUCCGCAAUGGACGAAAGUCUGACGGAGCAACGCCGCGUGAACGAAGAAGGCCUUCGGGUCGUAAAGUUCUGUUGUUAGGGAAGAAC
rnacentral:rRNA from 1 species